rnacentral:rRNA from 1 species
UACGUAGGGUGCAAGCGUUAAUCGGAAUUACUGGGCGUAAAGCGUGCGCAGGCGGUGAUGUAAGACAGAUGUGAAAUCCCCGGGCUCAACCUGGGAACUGCAUUUGUGACUGCAUCGCUGGAGUACGGCAGAGGGGAUGGAAUUCCGCGUGUAGCAGUGAAAUGCGUAGAUAUGCGGAGGAACACCGAUGGCGAAGGCAAUCCCCUGGGCCUGCACUGACGCUCAUGCACGAAAGCGUGGGGAGCAAACAGG